rnacentral:rRNA from 1 species
CCUACGGGGGGCAGCAGUGGGGAAUAUUGCACAAUGGGGGAAACCCUGAUGCAGCGACGCCGCGUGGGGGAAGAAGGAAUUCGGUAUGUAAAGCUCUAUCAGCAGGGAAGAAAAUGACGGUACCUGAGUAAGAAGCCACGGCUAACUACGUGCCAGCAGCCGCGGGAAUACGGAGGGUGCAAGCGUUAGCCGGAUUUACUGGGUGUAAAGGGAGCGUAGACGGCAGUGCAAGUCUGGAGUGAAAGGCGGGGGCUCAACCCCCGGACUGCGCUGGAAACUGGACGGCUGGAGUGCAGGAGAGGUAAGUGGAAUUCCUGGUGUAGCGGUGAAAUGCGUAGAUAUUAGGAGGAACACCAGUGGCGAAGGCGGCUUACUGGACUGUAACUGACGUUGAGGCUCGAAAGCGUGGGGAGCAAACAGGAUUAGAUACCCGAGUAGUC